ACGGGAGGCAGCAGUGGGGAAUAUUGGGCAAUGGGCGCAAGCCUGACCCAGCAACGCCGCGUGAAGGAAGAAGGCUUUCGGGUUGUAAACUUCUUUUAAGGGGGAAGAGCAGAAGACGGUACCCCUCGAAUAAGCCACGGCUAACUACGUGCCAGCAGCCGCGGUAAUACGUAGGUGGCAAGCGUUGUCCGGAUUUACUGGGUGUAAAGGGCGUGUAGCCGGGAAGGCAAGUCAGAUGUGAAAUACAUGGGCUUAACCCAUGAACUGCAUUUGAAACUGCUUUUCUUGAGUACUGGAGGGGCAAUCGGAAUUCCUAGUGUAGCGGUGAAAUGCGUAGAUAUUAGGAGGAACACCAGUGGCGAAGGCGGAUUGCUGGACAGCAACUGACGGUGAGGCGCGAAAGUGUGGGGAGCAAACAGGAUUAGAUACCCUGGUA
rnacentral:rRNA from 2 species